UACGGAGGGGGCUAGCGUUGUUCGGAAUCACUGGGCGUAAAGCGCACGUAGGCGGGGUCGUUAAGUCGGGGGUGGAAAUCCUGGAGCUCAACUCCAGAACUGCCCUUCGAUACUGGCGAUCUUGAGUCUGGGAGAGGUGGAGUGGAACUCCGAGUGUAGAGGUGAAAUUCGUAGAUAUUCGGAAGAACACCAGUGGCGAAGGCGGCAUCCUGGACCGGUAUUGACGCUGAUGCGCGAAAGCCAGGGGAGCAAACGGG
rnacentral:rRNA from 1 species